rnacentral:rRNA from 1 species
AUUGAACGCUGGCGGCAGGCCUAACACAUGCAAGUCGUGCGGAUGAAGGGAGCUUGCUCCUGGAUUCAGCGGCGGACGGGUGAGUAAUGCCUAGGAAUCUGCCUGGUAGUGGGGGAUAACGUCCGGAAACGGGCGCUAAUACCGCAUACGUCCUGAGGGAGAAAGUGGGGGAUCUUCGGACCUCACGCUAUCAGAUGAGCCUAGGUCGGAUUAGCUAGUUGGUGGGGUAAAGGCCUACCAAGGCGACGAUCCGUAACUGGUCUGAGAGGAUGAUCAGUCACACUAGAACUGAGACACGGUCCAGACUCCUACGGGAGGCGACGGUGGGGAAUAUUGGACAAUGGGCGAAAGCCUGAUCCAGCCAUGCCGCGUGUGUGAAGAAGGUCUUCGGAUUGUAAAGAACUUUAAGUUGGGAGAAAGGGCAGUAAGUUAAUACCUUGCUGUUUUGACGUAACAAACAGAAUAAGCACGGGCUAACUUCGUG